rnacentral:sRNA from 1 species
AACAGUUGAAUUAGUAGCUAAGAGCUUGUGAACAAUGAGACCCCCAAGGGAAACCUUUCUUUCCCACUCUCAGAGUUAGCAAAGCACUGAUGGCAGACUCUGAACCUCCUUAAUCCUAGGGCAGCAAAUUUCUGUUGUUUCUGUGAGUAAGAUCAGGCUGCUUCAUUAGGGUCUCCUCAAGAAACCACAGAGUUCCCUCAGAAUCAGACACUAGCGCACGAGCGAGCUCGUGAAACAUCUUCAUAAGGUGUGGUUGCUCAUCCGCUGUACAGUACCCGCCUUUAUUUCAUCCCACAAAUGGAUCAUACCCAAUCACUUCACCGAUUGCUUUCUUUUCUCAUUUCGCCCAUACCAAUCAAAUCUUCAUAUCAAUAAAAAAAGUGAUUUCUCCUUUUCUGAUAAGUUGACUUUUACUUCAAUAUUGCAUCUAUGCUUUGAGGUGCUCUGAGAUUUUUUUUGACCUAUGGUCACAUCUUUGGGAUUAAUCACUUCAGCAGUCCUGUGUGACACCCCACAGCCACCGUUUCCCAAUGGCAAGUAUCAUGGCACCUUGUGAAUGAUGUGGCUGAACCCAGUCAUUGCCUAGAGCCGUACUAGUGAGUAUAAACAUAAUUUCAAAACUCUGAGGUUAUCUAAAGGCCAAAACUGUUACCCCUGAAGGACAGGGAUAAACGUGUCCACUCUAUAACAGGCAUGAAAACUGGACCAGAGAUCACUCAGCCUCCUGACGCCAUCUUCACUCCAUUGCCUUUCUCUAACAAGGAGAUAUAAAACACUGGUGCAAAGAAAAUCAAAGUGGCAGGAGACGAGGUGGGGCCUGUGUUCUGCCAGAAGCAGCUGCUGGAGGACUUCCCGUGGGAGAACAACUCUUCCCUGUGGAGCACCUUGCAAGCUUCAUGGCAGGCUCCUCGGCUGUGAAGUGAGGGGGCUAUGAAGUUCUACUGAGAUUCUGAGACAUUCUAGGAUUCUGUAAGCCAAGAGUCACCUCCUGUGGCUGUCAAAGGGGAAUCUGACAUGGGGUACUGUUGCUGUGGCACUUCUUCUCUUUGAUGAAGGCGAGGUGGUUGCUGAGGGGCACAGGCUUUCGCUGGAAACCAAGGUUGAUCACCAAAAGGAGUCUGAUUUGGCCAGAAGUAUUUGAGGGCUCUGAACUCUGACUGUUGGAGACAAGAUUGAUGGUACUGAAGGGAGACUGGCCAUGCUGAGCUCUGAGCAGCACAGAGCAAAGGCCGGGGUGGGGGUGGGAGUGGGGGUGGCUUCAUCCUUCAGAUCCAAGCAUCCAUGUGAAAGGACAGGACUCACAGGUGAGGGAGCCUGGUUACUGAUGCUUUCCAUCUACAAGAUGAAAUCAGCCUUUCACCUUCCCAACUAAAUGCUUCUUCCACUAGGCAGAAGGAGGCUCAGAGGCCAGAGUCUGCCUUUGGUGGGGACAGAAUCCUUUCUGGCACUCUGAGGCCAAUAUCACCUGUUUUGGAAGCUCUGUCCCUUUUGUGGCAGAUGAAUUGACACUCUUGCUUCUCAGUGAGGAGGCUAGAACCCCACACAACACACACACACACACACACACACACACACACACUCCACCACCAUCACCACCACCACCACCACCAGCAGCAGCAGCAGCAUAGAAUCUGGGUAGAUGCUCUCUCCUUGAGAAACCGAUUAGAAAUGACGGUAAUCCAGAAGAAGAGGGGGAAAUCAGAACGGCAAAUAUGCAAGGCAGCCCAAGGAAGGAGGGUCUCAUUAGAGUCUCGAGUGACUUGAACCUGUUAAUUUCCUGCUGGGACUUUGACAGCCUUGAAAGCCUUCACAGGCAUGUAGAUCUGACCUCAUCACUUCUGGGGCUCCAGCUUGCUUACAUCUAUACAGUGCCCUUGAAAGGCUGCUACUGGCCCCAAAGCAUUUGUUAGAUAAUCCGAUUCCCUCUGUUCCACUAAAGACUGUACCCCAUCAUUGAUGAGGCAUGAGUCCUUUCCAGGAAUGGGACUUCUGUUGCCAGGCAGCCUGAUAUUUCCUAAUCAAAAGCUUCCGGUUUUAGCUCAUCGUCUUAUGCAUGUUUUCAGAUGCUCUCUGGGGGGGUCUCAGCACAUUUAAAGGCUAAUUAUAUAGUUAAAGUUAAUUAUUCAUUCAUUAACAUUCAAAAAGCCUUUAACAAGACAGUGGCUUGUUCUGAUGAAUUAAUAAAAUGUGUGU